rnacentral:rRNA from 1 species
AGUCGGCGUACGGAACGAACGCUGGCGGCAUGCCUAACACAUGCAAGUCGAACGAGACCUUCGGGUCUAGUGGCGCACGGGUGCGUAACGCGUGGGAACCUGCCUUUAGGUUCGGAAUAACUCAGAGAAAUUUGAGCUAAUACCGGAUGAUGUCUUCGGACCAAAGAUUUAUCGCCUUUAGAUGGGCCCGCGUAAGAUUAGCUAGUUGGUGGGGUAAAGGCCUACCAAGGCGACGAUCUUUAGCUGGUCUGAGAGGAUGAUCAGCCACACUGGGACUGAGACACGGCCCAGACUCCUACGGGAGGCAGCAGUGGGGAAUAUUGGACAAUGGGCGAAAGCCUGAUCCAGCAAUGCCGCGUGAGUGAUGAAGGCCUUAGGGUUGUAAAGCUCUUUUACCCGAGAUGAUAAUGACAGUAUCGGGAGAAUAAGCUCCGGCUAACUCCGUG